rnacentral:lncRNA from 1 species
CGCCAAGGCUAAAUCCUUGUUCCGGAUGCACUCUAGGGAGCCCAGAAAGGCAGAUAUCUUCGCCAAGCGAGCCUGAAACUCAGAACGAAGAGCGUAUGUGGCCUCUCGGAUCCUGCAGCUCGCUAAUCCUGCAUCGCCCUCGAUCUGACGCUGAAGCCGACGCACCUCCGAAGAUUUGGCCUUCCUGGUUUUCUUCUCCUUAAGCAGUGAACUCGCCGUCUUCCCGAGG